UGGCGAUCGCGCCAGAGCAUUUUUCCGGCGAAAGGGAUUCUCCUCAUCCCAGGCGAAUGAGCUUGUCAGCGGAGUGCUGCAAGCCGCAGCUUGUUCCCGCUGAUCGCUCAUCUCCGAUCUGGCCGUUGAUCUGGCAACUCCGGUUGCUGUGGCCGCGCCCUCUAUUGGCCAGACGCUGUCGUUUUCCAGCACUUAGCUCCGUGCCUCCAGUCAGCUGCUCUUCCGUCGUUAUCCAACACCACUUGCGGUGUGCUUGGCCAAUUUUGCCCAAAAACAAAAAGAAGGCAAGAAUAGGAAAACAGGCACUUACCUGCUGUUCCUUCCCCCCCCUUCGGCCUAGGGCUCGACGGCGUCCCACUGGGAUUUCGGCCGCUUCUCUGCUUGCGGACUUGCGUUCCGCGCAGGCUAACUUCCGACGUUUUCCACUGAAUUAUACGGAACGAUUUAAAAACACGACCGCACUCACUAGAAUAUGUGUGUGUGUGUGCCUCUGUGUGUGCCGGUGUGUGUGUGUGUGCUCCAGACAAAUACUCCCAAAUCUCUCCCAAUUGUGCGAUAUCACCCCGCAGCAGCAGCCCCGUGCCACGCGUCCCCUGUCGGAUAGCAUUUUGUAGAUUUUAAUAAACACGCAAGAUAAUUAAAUUUAA